AACUUUGGCACACCUCCACUGUAUAAUCUGAAGUUCAGGGCUGUCAACCGCACGGUGACGUCCGCUAGACGCUAUGAGUCAAGACACAAUACGAGGAAAUCCCCAAGGCCGAGAAAACGCUGAGAGGCCCCUUUAAAUCGACGCUUCCUCAACGCCGUGCCAACAGAGAGAGAGAGAGAAAGAGCGCUGAUAAACAACAACACGGUUCUCAGAAGCGGCUUUUACCGAAUUCAGCUCUUUACUGCGGCCUCAAAGAAACGAAGGUUUGGCGGACUUCCCUUCUGUAAUUUCCAGCGUUUAGUCGUCUGUUGCCCAUACAUUCGUCGGUUAAUACCAUUGCGGAAGUGAGAAGCUUUCCAUCACGACACAAAGCUUGGGCUGUGCGGACAUCUAGCGGUCAGACACUAAAGGACGCCUCCCAGAGAUGUACGGUGCUUCAGGUAUCCCCGAGCUCAUUCCGCCCAGCGGGCCGCCCAGGCAGCCCGGCCCGGCGGGGCAGUUCAACCCAGGACACCCCCAGGUCAACGGCCACGGUGGCGGGCCCAACCCUCAGAGACUUGGACAGAGGGCACCCAAACUAGGCCAGAUCGGUCGGUCCAAGAAAGUGGACCUGGAUGAUGAGGACUUGGAUGACAUCAUGAACAACAACGGGCAGUGCCCUGUAUCCCUGUCACCCAUCUCCUAAACUUCACCAAGAAGUGCCAAAAAAGAAAACCCCCGGGUCGCCAAACCCACCCCCACACCCUCUGACAGCGAUCUUGGCCUUGCUCCUGUCAAGUGUCCUACUGAAGCUUCUUCAAGGCUCAAAAACGGCUCAUUUAUCGCCUGUUGAAGCCCUGACUGUGUAUAUAGCGUUUAUUUAACUUAACUUUGGUCAGACUGUGAAUGAAUUCGUAUUGCAUCGCUCUCUACACUAUACCUCGGUAGGUAGUGGACUAUCAGGAUUUAAGAAAGAUUUGAAGGAAGUGUCUAUAUUUUUUCAGAGCUUCUUAUCAAGGGCUACAUUUUAAAAGUUGCACUGAGCAAACGGUUAGAUGACAAGCAUCCUCUCGCCUGCCUGUUUACUGGUGAGGGUUACUGAUUACCCGUGGGCUGCUUGUGUUGGAACACAAGCCUGUUAAUGUGUAUUGGACAGGUGAAUUGUUAAGCUUUGGUUGUGCAAUGACUAUCAUUCUCUACUCUCUCACUGAUCCAAGUGGUGUACUAUUAUCCAGUGGAUGAAAGCUCGCUAGUUGCUUUAAAAAAAAAAAAAAAAGAAAAGGAAAAAAAAAACUAAUGCUAAUAAUUUAUUUAAAAAAUGAGACACUUUGUUGUGAUGUUACGGCAUCUGUUUGGUUUUGGUUUUUUACUUGUUUCUGAGCAGGUAACGCUUCAGUCUGUGAGAUUUUUAUUAUGUUUCCAAAUGGUGCACUUUGUGGGAAUGCCUGUUAUGUGCAGUGACAUGUUGCAGAAUUCUAUGCAUGAAGCAUCAAAACCUGUGACUGGCAUCCUGUUAUUUAAGGGCUACGUAGUAGACUUUGAUAAACCAAACCACCGUUUUGCUCUUCAGAUCUGGUAGAGUCAGCGUUUCCCUGAGCUCAUUGGUGGCUUUGACCUGCUGACUCGACAGUAAACAACAAUAGCUUCAUAGAGCUUUCUGUGUGUUUCCUAAUGCAGGCUUUCCCAGUUUGGCUACAUGACUGUGAGGACAAAAAAACAAAAUGUGUACAGUAAAUGACUUUGAUGAAAUUGCCAAAUGAUUCCUGAUGCUACAUCAGAUUGAUGCUUAAAAAAAUUGACUCUGAUUGGCAUGCCGACGUGUAAAAAGUCAAACUUAAUUGUAUUUAUGUUUAUUUAUAAAAAGCACUAAUCUGCUUUGUGAACUACACCCACGUGGUGUGGUAAUGUCUUUCAGGUUUAGGUGAACUAUUGUGUCAGACUUUAUAAUUACAGUGUGAGGUCACAGAAACGAGCACCCUCGCUGCAGAGACAAUCUUUGGAUUUUUUUUAAGACGGCAGUGGCUCUCUCGGGUUGAGAUGGUGUUGUCUAUAAAAGGCGGCUCAUGUUGAUGUCAUGUUCCUUUUUUUUGCUGGCUGUGAAAUUGUUACUUAAUUUGUUGGCGUCACGGGAGCACUGCACCUCACAGCUUACUCUCUGACUCAAAGAUAGUUGUUUUGAUCUUUGCAUGGAAAUAACUUUUCAUAAAGCAUCCCGGGAAAUAAAACAUGAAUCUUUGUGGAA